UCCGUAGGCGGGCAAUUAAGUCAGAGGUGAAAUCCCACAGCUCAGCUGUGGAACUGCCUUUGAUACUGGUUGUCUUGAGUUAUAGUGAAGUAGAUAGAAUAUGUAGUGUAGCGGUGAAAUGCAUAGAUAUUACAUAGAAUACCGAUUGCGAAGGCAGUCUACUAACUGUAUACUGACGCUAAUGGACGAAAGCGUGGGGAGCGAACAGGAUUAGAUACCCUGGUAGUCC
rnacentral:rRNA from 1 species